rnacentral:rRNA from 1 species
GACGAACGCUGGCGGCGUGCUUAACACAUGCAAGUCUAACGGAAAGGCCCUGCUUUUGUGGGUUGCUCGAGUGGCGAACGGGUUAGUAACACGUGAGUAACCUGUCCUUGACUUUGGGAUAACUUCAGGAAACUGGGGCUAAUACCGGAUAGGAGCUCCUGCUGCAUGGUGGGGGUUGGAAAGUUUCGGCGGUUGGGGAUGGUCUCGCGGCUUAUCAGCUUGUUGGUGGGGUAGUGGCUUACCAAGGCUUUGACGGGUAGCCGGCCUGAGAGGGUGACCGGCCACAUUGGGACUGAGAUACGGCCCAGACUCCUACGGGAGGCAGCAGUGGGGAAUAUUGCACAAUGGGCGGAAGCCUGAUGCAGCAACGCCGCGUGCGGGAUGACGGCCUUCGGGUUGUAAACCGCUUUCGCCUGUGACGAAGCGUGAGUGACGGUAAUGGGUAAAGAAGCACCGGCUAACUACGUG